rnacentral:rRNA from 1 species
GACGAACGCUGGCGGCGUGCUUAACACAUGCAAGUCGAGCGGUAAGGCUCCUUCGGGAGUACACGAGCGGCGAACGGGUGAGUAACACGUGAGCAAUCUGUCCUUCACACGGGGAUAACCCUCGGAAACGAGAGCUAAUACCCGAUACGACCACUUCAGGCAUCUGAUGGUGGUGGAAAGUUCCGGCGGUGAAGGAUGAGCUUGGGGCCUAUCAGCUUGUGGGUGGGGUAACGGCCCACCAAGGCAACGACGGGUAGCCGGCCUGAGAGGGUGACCGGCCACACUGGGACAGAGGCACGGCCCAGAGUCCAUCGGGAGACAGCAGUGGGGAAUAUUGGACAAUGGGCGAAGGCCUGAUCCAGCAACGCCGCGUGAGGGAUGACGGCCUUCGGGUUGUAAACCUCUUUCGGCAGGGACGAAGCGCAAGUGACGGUACCUGCAGAAGAAGCACCGGCCAACUACGUGCCAGCCGCCGCCGUAA